rnacentral:rRNA from 1 species
AUGAUAGAUCAAAAUCUUAGCAUCCUAAACUGGAACGUACAAGGUCUAAAUUGCCCUGACCGUCGAGCAACUAUCCGAGAGACGAUCGCUGCUACCCCUUGCCACAUUGUCUGUCUACAAGAGACCAAGCUAGAGCUCGUUGACCCAUUCAUCGCUUCGUUCCUUGGUGGCCACAACCUGAAAAACUUUGUUCAGCGCCCAGCCACUGGCACCCGUGGUGGCAUACUGCUGCUUUGGGAUGAGAGUGUGGUUGAUGUAAAGGAUGUGUGCAUUGACACCUUCUUCCUCUCCUGCACAGUCACGAUCGUUUCCUCGACCACAACCUUCAAGCUCACCACUGUCUAUGGCCCGACACGAAGCAAUCUCAAGGACGCCUUCUUCCAAGAGUUGAUCAGCGAGAAGCCACCCCCAGGUUCAAAGUGGUUGGUUUCCGGUGAUUUCAACCAAAUCUACCGUGCGUAAGAUAAGAACAAGCCAAAUGUCGAUCGAAGUCAUAUCGUCCGCUUCAGAAACGCGCUCAAUCUCUGUGAGCUCAAAGAGAUCCAUUUGCAAAAUAGAAAAUUCACAUGGAGCAAUGAGCAGACCAACCCAACUCUCAGCAAACUUGACUCUUUCUUUUGCAACGAAGAUUGGGACUUGGACUUUGGCACACACAUCCUCCACGCGCUCUCGUCAUCCUUAUCAGACCACUGCCCUCUCCUCCUCGCGAAUGACAAAGGCCCGCAGAGAUCAAAACCCUUCCGUUUUGAAAACUUUUGGAUCAAAAUGCCCGGUUUUAAAGAGGUUGUCCAAGGAGCUUGGAGCGCCAACUCGGGUCACUCUGACCCAUACCUCAACCUCUUUCACAAGCUAACAGAGGUGGGCAAAAAGCUUAGGAAAUGGAGCAGGACAAUGUUCGCGCACUCGAAGGUGCAAAUUCACAUGGCCCUGGAGCUUAUUCUUCGCUUGGAUGUGGCCCAAGAUCUUCGCUCCCUUAGUACCAGCGAGCGAGAACUU